UGGAGAAUCUUGGACAAUGGGCGCAAGCCUGAUCCAGCCAUGCCGCGUGGAUGAUGAAGGCCUUAGGGUUGUAAAAUCCUUUCAACGGGGACGAUAAUGACGGUACCCGUAGAAGAAGCCCCGGCUAACUUCGUGCCAGCAGCCGCGGUAAUACGAAGGGGGCUAGCGUUGCUCGGAAUUACUGGGCGUAAAGCGCGUGUAGGCGGACCGUUAAGUCAGAGGUGAAAGCCCGGGGCUCAACCCCGGAACUGCCUUUGAUACUGGCGGUCUUGAGCAUGACAGAGGCGAGUGGAAUUCCGAGUGUAGAGGUGAAAUUCGUAGAUAUUCGGAGGAACACCAGUGGCGAAGGCGACUCGCUGGGUCAUUGCUGACGCUGAGACGCGAAAGCGUGGGGAGCAAA
rnacentral:rRNA from 1 species